rnacentral:rRNA from 1 species
CCUACGGGGGGCUGCAGUGAGGAAUAUUGGUCAAUGGACGAGAGUCUGAACCAGCCAAGUAGCGUGAAGGAUGACUGCCCUAUGGGUUGUAAACUUCUUUUAUAAAGGAAUAAAACGAGGCACGUGUGCCUUUUUGCAUGUACUUUAUGAAUAAGGAUCGGCUAACUCCGUGCCAGCAGCCGCGGUAAUACGGAGGAUCCGAGCGUUAUCCGGAUUUAGUGGGGUUAAAGGGAGCGUAGAUGGGUUGUUAAGUCAGUGGUGAAAGUUUGCGGCGAAACCGUAAAAUUGCAAUUGAUACUGGCAGUCUUGAGUACAGUUGAGGUAGGCGGAAUUCGUGGUGUAGCGGUGACAUGCUUAGAUAUCACGAAGAACCCCGAUUGCGAAGGCAGCUUACUAAACUGUGACUGACAUUGAUGCUCGAAAGUGUGGGUAUCAAACAGGAUUAGAUACCCGAGUAGUC